GGAAGAGAGGCGGGCGUUUGCGUCUCUUUAUGGUGUUCGCAGAUGCGGUCGACCAUGUGUGUACGCUUUAUUUACGACGUAGGACACAUGGUCUACUUCUUCUCAAUAUCACAUUUCGCC
rnacentral:miRNA from 1 species